GCUGCGAGCUGGCUGUACCUCUGAGUUGUUCCUUGCUGCUAAGAACCGUGGCAGGCAUGACUCCAAUGUGGAUUUUGAUGGCUUCUGUUGGGCAGUUGAGUACCAGAAGGAUGACAACUACUGCUGGGGUCUUAAAGCUCAAGCUUGGUGCUGUGUCUAUGAGCAGACAGCCAUUAAGCAGUCUUGACUGGAAGUUGAAGAGGUGAACUUGAAUUCUUGACCUGUCCAAAGCAGUUGGCCUGACUUGAUGAUGGCUGCAUGUUUUGUUACGUGGCUGACUUCUUUGGGGUGUGAAGAGAGAUAGUGACUGCAAUGCAAGGAAUCAGGAGUUCUAACCAAAGGCAGAUGUUUUGUCCUGAAGAUUUCGAGGGCAUUUAUGAUACCAGUCAGACGUAACAGUCAGCCAGAUGGAUGCACAUGGGAUAGAAGAGCAAACAACUAUUAAUUGGCUGCUGCCCUGCAAAGCUGUUGGGAUCCUAGUUUCCUGACAAGGGAUCAAACCCGUGACUGCUACAGUGGAAGCUCAGCCCUAACCAUUGGACUACCAGGAAAUUCUCCAGCUUUCUAUUUUAAUAAAUGUUUAU